rnacentral:rRNA from 1 species
ACCCGCUGAAUUUAAGCAUAUCAGUAAGCGGAGGAAAAGAAACUAACAAGGAUUGCCCCAGUAGCGGCGAGUGAACAGGCAUAAGCUCAAAUUGUUAAUCCUUAGCCUGAUGUUAAGGAAUUGUAAUCUAGAGAAGUUUUCGGAGGUGAAUGGGCAUGGCAUAAGUCUCUUGGAACAGAGUGUCAUAGAGGGUGAUAACCCCGUUCUUGGCUAUGUCUCAGAUCCAACGAAUGCUUUCGAAGAGUCGGGUUGUUUGGGAUUGCAGCCCUAAGUGGGAGAUAAACUUCUUCUAAAGCUAAAUAUUUAUGGGAAACCGAUAGCGAACAAGUACUGCGAAGGAAAGGUGAAAAGAACUUUGAAAAGAGGGUUAAAAGACUUGAAAUCGUUGAGAAGAAAGUGGUAAAAGAGUAAUCAUUUGUGUACGAUGCAAGGUUUGCUUCCCGGGUUUUGCUGUGUUUUUGUACUUCAUAGGCUUCACAUAGUAAACGCUUGGUAGCUGAUCCGUUUUCGUAUGCAAGAGACAAAAUGAAGUUGAGGUCCGGGAAUAUACAGGUGAAAUGCCCAUAGCUUGCUGUGAGUUCAUUUGUGAAACCGGCCUUCAGCUUGAGGGGCCUACGGGCGAUUUUGUCAAAGUGGCUUUUACCGUCCCGUCUUGAAACACGGACCAAGGAGUCUAUCCAAUAUGCGAGUGUUAGGGUGGAAAAACCCGAACGCAUAACGAAAGUGAGGAUAAGUUGUUAACAGCAACAGCCGAACUGGCGUCUCUGACAAAGGUAUCGAGCAAGAGCAUAUUUGAUAGGACCCGAAAGAUGGUGAACUUCGCUUGAGUAGGGUGAAGCCAGGGGAAACUCUGGUGAAAGCUCGAAGCGGUACUGACGUGCAAAUCGUUCGUCGAACUUGAGUGAAGGGGCGAAAGACUAAUCGAACCAUCUAGUAGCUGGUUCCCUCUGAAGUUUCUCUCAGGAUAGCUGGAACAAUCAAGCAGUUUUAUUAGGUAAAGCGAAUGAUUAGAGGAAUCGGAGCUCAAAGAGUUUUGACCUAUUCUCAAACUUUAAAUUGGUAAGAACAAAGGGUUAGCUUAAGUGAACCUUUUGGUAGAAUGCUUGUUCCAAGUGGGCCAUUUUUGGUAAGCAGAACUGGCGAUGAGGGAUGAACCUAACGCUUAGAUAAGGUGCCUAAAUCUGCAUUCAUGAGACCCCACAAAAGGUGUUGGUUCAUUUAGACAGCAGGACGGUGGCCCUGGAAGUCGGAAUCCGCUAAGGAGUGUGUAACAACUCACCUGCCGAAUGAACUAGCCCUGAAAAUGGAUGGCGCUGAAGUGCAGUACCGAUACUAAGCCAUUAUUGCAAAUUUGAGGCAAUGAUGAGUAAGAGGGCGUGUCCGUCUCGUGUAGAAGCCUUUGGUGUGAACCUGGGUGGAACGGCGGAUAGUGCAGAUCUUGGUGGUAGUAGCAAAUAUUCAAAUGAGAACUUUGAAGACCGAAGUGGGGAAGGGUUCCAUGAGAACAGCAAUUGGUCAUGGGUUACUCGAUCCUAAGGCAUAGGGCAAGUCCUUGGAAUGCAAAACAGCGUAUGCUGUUGCUGCCAAAAGGGAAAGGGGUUAAUAUUCCUCUAGUCGGCUGUGGAUAAAAUGUGGCAACACAAAUGAGCCUGCAGACAUCAGCAUGUCCCCCUGGAAGAGUUAUCUUUUCUUUUUAACUGUUUAUGGCCCUGAAAUUGGAUUAUCCAGAGAUAGGGCUGUAAGACAGGCAGAGCAGCUCACCCUAUGAGCUGUCAGGUGCGGUCAUGAUGAUCCUUGAAAAUGCAGGGGAGAUAUUUAUAUCACACCGAAUCGUACCCAUAACCGCAUCAGGUCUCCAAGGUU